rnacentral:lncRNA from 1 species
CACAAUGACAACCAAGCAGGAGGCAAAACACAGACGUUCCAGGACUCAUUAAUAACGGUGGCGUUCGAAUUAAAAAUACGUUGACGUUUGAUCUGCAUUUCAAUCAGGCAAAGCAGCCUCAGUCAGAAGACGAAAGGCCCGUAAACCCAACAAACGACUGUGACGACCCCGCAGUUGUGUGGUUAAUAGGCACCGGUGGCUUGCGAGGAGGAGGGAGGCCUCGGCCGUGCGCUCUGGCCCUCUUUUAGCUCAGGACGGGCCUCGUCAUAUGGUGGAUUUGGGCCGCCGACUAAAUUAGCCACCACGGAAACAGCCCUGGGCGACUGCAGCGCCUGCUCCUCGCCACAGACCCUCCAUCGUCAUGAAAAAUAAAACAGAUACAACGCCCCCGCGUUAGGGAAGCUUUCAAACCCUGCUCAGCCUCGGCUUUAAUAUUUCAUGGCGUCCUCUUACUUAUUUUAGUGGGAAUAAUUGAUCUGGAAAGAGCACUGCCAUGCAGAAAUGAAAGGCUCAGAGGAGCCGGUCAAAAAAAAAAAAAAGUUCUAUUAUAGUUUUGACAACCCCAGAUUCUGCAGCCUUUUUAUAUUUUGCUUGAUGCCUGGGACUAAACCAGAGAAUAGAAAGAAUGGCUUUAACUACGGUUUCUGAUUCAUUGAGGAGAAAACGCAUUACGUGGCGCAGCUUCACCCAGAAAGACAAAAUGUUCCACAGCUUGUUUAACAGCUAAUGGAUAGUCGCUUUAAAAGGUGCAUCGCAUGGCGCUGUGCAAAACAUUUCCAUCAGCAACCUCACUCCACUUUAUUAGGCUCCGACAUAUUCAUUGGCCAACUGCUGUCCCAUCCAUUUAGACAAAUAUUUGCUGGCAACACAAAUAAAUAAGUCCAUUCAGCUCUGAACAGGCCUUGUUUGUGGUAUUGACUGUUAUUGUUGCCAUUGUGUUUUUCAUUCCAGCAGCCAGUGCAGGAGGACCGCAGACACAAUUGAUUCCUUCGCUGGGAUGAGGGCGGAGGUCACUCAGGGCCAGGAGCAGUAUUCAUCGACGCUCCAGAACCACCUCCUGAGAUCUGCACCUGCCAGCGCCGCGUCGCCCGCGCAGGAGCCGAGCCCGCCGUCGCCAGCCGUCGCCGCGGACAACCGGAGGAUGCGAGCCCACGAGCACGGGGACCAGUAGGUGUCUCUGCAGCACAAACAACCCCUCCG